rnacentral:rRNA from 1 species
UACGUAGGGUCCGAGCGUUGUCCGGAAUUAUUGGGCGUAAAGAGCUCGUAGGCGGUUUGUCGCGUCUGCUGUGAAAUCCCGAGGCUCAACCUCGGGCCUGCAGUGGGUACGGGCAGACUGGAGUGCGGUAGGGGAGAAUGGAAUUCCUGGUGUAGCGGUGGAAUGCGCAGAUAUUAGGAGGAACACCGGUGGCGAAGGCGGGUCUCUGGGCCGAUACUGACGCUGAGGAGCGAAAGCGUGGGGAGCGAACAGG